rnacentral:rRNA from 1 species
GAUGAACGCUGGCGGCGUGCUUAACACAUGCAAGUCGAACGGGAAACCUUUUAAUGAAGCUUCGGCAGAUUUAGCUGGUUUCUAGUGGCGGACGGGUGAGUAACGCGUGGGUAACCUGCCUUAUACAGGGGGAUAACAGUCAGAAAUGACUGCUAAUACCGCAUAAGCGCACAGGACCGCAUGGUCCGGUGUGAAAAACUCCGGUGGUAUAAGAUGGACCCGCGUUGGAUUAGCUUGUUGGUGGGGUAACGGCUCACCAAGGCGACGAUCCAUAGCCGGCCUGAGAGGGUGAACGGCCACAUUGGGACUGAGACACAGCCCAGACUCCUACGGGAGGCAGCAGUGGGGAAUAUUGCACAAUGGGGGAAACCAUGAUGCAGCGACGCCGCGUGAAGGAAGAAGUAUCUCGGUAUGUAAACUUCUAUCAGCAGGGAAGAUAGUGACGGUACCUGACGAAGAAGCCCCGGCUAACUACGUG